rnacentral:snoRNA from 12 species
AUGCCCUUUUAAGGCUUUAAUUUAAGAAGUUAACAUAGAAGGGUAAAGUAAGUUUUCAUAAAACCCAGUGGAGAGAUUGUGGAACUCUUCUUUGGAUCCUGUCUGGAGUUACAGUU